rnacentral:rRNA from 1 species
UACAGAGGUCUCAAGCGUUGUUCGGAUUCAUUGGGCGUAAAGGGUGCGUAGGCGGCGCGGUAAGUCGGGGGUGAAAUCCUGGAGCUCAACUCCAGAACUGCCUUCGAUACUGGCGAUCUCGAGUUCGGGAGAGGUGAGUGGAACUGCGAGUGUAGAGGUGAAAUUCGUAGAUAUUCGCAAGAACACCAGUGGCGAAGGCGGCUCACUGGCCCGAUACUGACGCUGAGGUGCGAAAGCGUGGG